rnacentral:rRNA from 1 species
UACGAAGGGGGCGAGCGUUGCUCGGAAUCACUGGGCGUAAAGGGUGCGUAGGCGGGGCUUUAAGUCAGGGGUGAAAUCCUGGAGCUCAACUCCAGAACUGCCUUUGAUACUGAAGAUCUUGAGUUCGGGAGAGGUGAGUGGAACUGCGAGUGUAGAGGGGAAAUUCGUAGAUAUUCGCAAGAACACCAGUGGCGAAGGCGGCUCACUGGCCCGAUACUGACGCUGAGGCACGAAAGCGUGGGGAGCAAACAGG